rnacentral:rRNA from 1 species
GCCGAACGCUGGCGGCGUGCUUAACACAUGCAAGUCGAACGAAGUGGCGAACGGGUGAGUAACGCGUAAUCAACCUGCCCUUCAGAGGGGGACAACGGUAGGAAACGACUGCUAAUACCGCAUACUGAAGGAGGGGCUUGCGUCUGUUUAGCUGGUUGGCGGGGUAACGGCCAAACAAGGCGAUGAUAAGUAGCCUGUCUGAGAGGAUGAACGGCCCCAGUGUGACCGAGACACGGCCCAGAGUCUUACGGGAGGCAGCAGUGGGGAAUCUUCCGCAAUGGACGAAAGUCUGACGGAGAAACGCCGCGUGAGAGAGGACGGCUUUCGGGUUGUAAAGCUCUGUUAAUCGGGACGCGGUACCGGAAUAGAAAGCCACGGCUAACUACGUGCCAGCCGCCGCGGUAAUAC